CACGUAGGGUGCGAGCGUUGUCCGGAAUUAUUGGGCGUAAAGAGCUCGUAGGCGGUGUGUCGCGUCGAUCGUGAAAACUUGGGGCUUAACCCUGAGCUUGCGGUCGAUACGGGCAUCACUUGAGUUCGGCAGGGGAGACUGGAAUUCCUGGUGUAGCGGUGAAAUGCGCAGAUAUCAGGAGGAACACCGGUGGCGAAGGCGGGAUCCUGGGCCAGUACUGACGCUGAGGAGCGAAAGCGUGGGGAGCAAACAGG
rnacentral:rRNA from 1 species